rnacentral:rRNA from 1 species
AUUCUGUAGCAAGGUUAACCGAAUAGGGGAGCCGGAGGGAAACCGAGUCUUAACCGGGCGUUAAGUUGCAGGGUAUAGACCCGAAACCCGGUGAUCUAGCCAUGGGCAGGUUGAAGGUUGGGUAACACUAACUGGAGGACCGAACCGACUAAUGUUGAAAAAUUAGCGGAUGACCUGUGGCUGGGGGUGAAAGGCCAAUCAAACCGGGAGAUAGCUGGUUCUCCCCGAAAGCUAUUUAGGUAGCGCCUCGUGAAUUCAUCUCCGGGGGUAGAGCACUGUUUCGGCUAGGGGGCCAUCCCGGCUUACCAACCCGAUGCAAACUGCGAAUACCGGAGAAUGUUAUCACGGGAGACACACGGCGGGUGCUAACGUCCGUCGUGAAGAGGGAAACAACCCAGACCGCCAGCUAAGGUCCCAAAGUCAUGGUUAAGUGGGAAACGAUGUGGGAAGGCCCAGACAGCCAGGAUGUUGGCUUAGAAGCAGCCAUCAUUUAAAGAAAGCGUAAUAGCUCACUGGUCGAGUCGGCCUGCGCGGAAGAUGUAACGGGGCUAAACCAU